GACGAACGCCGGCGGCGUGCUUAACACAUGCAAGUCGAACGGAGAAGCCCUUCGGUGUGGGUCAGCUGCGAACGGGUGCGUAACACGUGAGCAACCUGCCCCUGCCCCUGGGACAACCAUUGGAAACGGUGGCUAAUACCGGAUACGACCCGCCUCUGCAUCGACUGGGGGUGGAAAGGUUUUCGGCUGGGGAUGGGCUCGCGGCUUAUCAGCUUGUUGGUGAGGUGAAGGCUCACCAAGGCGACGACGGGUAGCCGGCCUGAGAGGGCGACCGGCCACAAUGGGACUGAGACACGGCCCAGACUCCUACGGGAGGCAGCAGUGGGGAAUAUUGCACAAUGGGCGGAAGCCUGAUGCAGCGACGCCGCGUGCGGGAUGACGGCCUUCGGGUUGUAAACCUCUUUCGGCUCCGACGAAGCGAAAGUGACGGUAGGGGCAGAAGAAGCACCGGCUAACUACGUG
rnacentral:rRNA from 1 species